CAAGUCCAAGUGCUUGAUCUCGCUCCUCGGCGCCCCCCUCCUCCUCCCCACCUUGCUCGCCCCGGGCCGCGGGGAGGAGGGACCGAAGAUCCGCUGCUCCCGGCGGCGGAGCCCGCAUCUCGGCGCUGGGAGGGGCGGGUUCGGGCGCGGCCGAGCCGAGGAAGAGGAAGUCCGAGCCCGAGCGGCGGUGCAGGGCGCUCCGCGAGCGCGGGAGCCGGGGCCGGAGCCGGAGCCGGAGCGGGAGCGGGAGCCGGAGCCGGAGCCGGAGCGCGAGCGGGAGUCGGAGCCGGAGCCGGAGCCGGAGCCGGGCCGGAGCCGGGCCGGAGCCCGAGCCCGCGCCGCGCAGCUUCACCCCCGCCGACCUGCGAGCGCGGCCCCCGCGCUGGAGCCGCGCGUCUCCGGGUAAGCGCCGGCUGCGCCCCGACCCCCGGGGUCGUCUUCCAGGGACGGGACCGCUCGCCGGGAGCCCCGGGAGCCUCGGCCCGGCCCCCUAAUCCGCAGGUGGCGGCGGGCGGAGCGUGGGCCCCCCCGGGGUGCGGGCAGACGGUGCUUCCCGGAGCGCGCCCCCGCCGCGGGGACCCGGGGCCCGCUGCCCGCCGCCGCCUGGAGGGGGCGACCCGCCGCCGCCCGGGCGCGGGUCCCCGGGCCCCCGAGUGCCGGCCGCAGCCCGGGCGCAGCCUGCAUCUGCCGGCGCCGCGGUCCCGCCCCCCGCCGGCCCCGGGAAGGGCUUCCCGCGUCCCCCGGGAUGUCGCAGAGCCCAGCCCCAAGGUGGUCCGAGCGCGCGACGCGGCGAUGGGACAGGCCCCCGAGGUCUACCCGGCCUCCCGGGGCCCGCGAACCGCGGCGGGAGUCAGAGGCCGGGGCGCCGCGCCGGGCUCGGGGGACCCCCGCCCUGGUAGGAACCGCUCGGCCGGGGCGGGGGGGGCGGGGGUGCGGGGGGUGCCCGACAGCCAGCCUCCUUUGUGUCCUCCGUUGAGAGCCUGGUUCCUAAACCAGGAGCGUGCGGAGGCUUCCGACCCGGGGAACUCCAGGGGUUGCGGUUUCGUGCGCGGCGUUGCAGCCACGAGGGCCGGCGCGGGUGCUGGGGUCUGCUUGCUGGAGGUCUGCUUGCUCCUCCACGCUCCCGUGGACCACCCCCCAGCGGCCGUGGCUCCCGCACAUAUUUUUGAAGUCGCUGAGUGGGAGUCCCACGCCAGGCAUCACAGAAGGCUAGGUGGAGCUCGGGGACGGCGGGGUCGGGGGUUUCCGACCGGGCGGAUACAGGACUACCUCGCGUUUCGUUCUUCAGCCAGGAGGCGUUCCAGAAUGUUGACUCCAGGUCAAAUUUGUCAUCUCACAGAACUCCGGGCCUAG
rnacentral:lncRNA from 1 species